GAGCGGGUGAGGUUCCACAGAGGACCCAGCCCUCGUCUGUUUCUUCCAGGACGCUGGGGUUUGGGAUUUCAGAGUUUGGUUUUUCUUUGUUUCCGGAGAGUCCAUUCCAGCAUCUAUUAAACAAGAAUAAGAAGGAAAGAUUCGAAGCAAUAUCCCAAUACUCUUUAGAUUUUAUCAACUGUGAGACACUAUGGAUUUUCAAAGACGGCUGACUGCCUUUCAUGCCUCUGAACUCCGCCCUUCCUUGGCAUGAUGGAGAAGGAAAAUGAACUCAAGACCCACCUAGUACAGCAUCUUAAAUCUAAUUAGGUACCCAAACAAGCGAAUUAUUUGAACUCAACGCAUCCCAAGUUGCAAAAGUGGGCCAAGUCUCUUGGCUCCUAGGACUACAGCUUUGCCUCCUUCAGGAGCUAGAGAGCUGAUGCUCAGGAGAACUGCAGGUAUGUGCCAGGCCCCGGGAAGAAGCACACCCUCCUGUGUAAUGCGAAGGCCGCGGUCCAGACUUCAUUCUCCCCGGGUCUCAAGUGCCGGCCCAUUUGCAGAAGACCAGGGAGCAGGGAGCAGCUCUGUAUUUGAGAUCUUGAAGGACACCUCGUGGUGCCACUGGAGUCGGAGACGCAAAAGGAAAAGAUGAGGGAUGGUCAUCGCUGUGCUCUUCACAUGUUGUGAGAAUUCUGGGUCAUUUUCUCAAGUUUGGAAUUGUGGAUGUGGCCGUGGCUGUUUCCAGACAGAAAACAGUGGAAUCCUGGAAAGAGUCAAACAAUCAACUGUGAUUUUGUACUUCGAUCCAGAUGAAUUAAGCAAGCAGAUCCUUUGGGUUUUACACAUCUAUGAAAUAUCAGGCCCUCAUGUUCUCCUUUUGGGGUGUUCUUCCUCGAAAAGAAUGCACUUUCACUAUUUAAAUAA